GCUCUUUUUAUAUGUGCAUUGAAGAGAAAACAAAUCACAUGCUGUUGCAUUGCAAUGCCUCAAGAACUGUUUCAGUGCAUUGCAUACAACAAUUAACUUAUUACGCUGUGCAUAGAAGAAAUCAACAUAACAUAACAUGCAUUGCAAACAUGUAAGUUAUGCCCUCAUUAUGUACAAAAGCUAACUUAUUCAUCAUGCAUUGAAGAGAUAACACAUAAUACGUUGUGUUGCGAUGCAUACUCACCCGUUAUGCAUUGAGAUAUAACACAACAUGCAUUGCAUUGCAGUAACUUAUUAUUCUAUGCACAACAUAAUAAGUUAGUUCUUGUAUACAAUGUAAUGAAACAGCGCAUAGCGUAUACUCUUUUUAUGCAUUGCAUUGCAACGGCACAUAUGUGUUCUUGUAUUUAUUGCAGAGCAACAGCAUAUGUGAUUUGUUUUCUCUUCAAUGCACAAAGGAAAGAGUUUGUUCUUGUAUGCAGUGCAGUGCAACAAGUACUGAAUAGUAAUUGCUAUAUUUCUAGCAAAAGAGUGCUCAAUCUUGAACUUUCUAUAGAGACUCAUUGACUCCUCCUGAUGUUACAUAAUACAGACAGUAGUCCAUAUUUGACCAAAAGAACAUAUUUAUGGCCCAAAAGCUCUUGAUCUUGAACUUUCUAUACAUAUUCAUUGACUCCUUCUGAUUUUUGUUUUUCAGCCAUACAGAAGUGCAUAUUAGACCUACUUAUUUUUUUGGUCCCAAGAUUCUACGAUCAUGAAUUUUGUGUACAAAAUACUGAACAUAUUUCUGACAAAUUAGUCCCCAAUCAUGAACUUUUUAUACAAACAUAUUGACUCAUUCUAAUGAUAAAAUCAGCCAUAGAGUAUUGAAUAUUUGACCUAUUUGUACAUAUUCUUGGCCAAAGAGUACUCGAAUUUGAACUUUUUAUAUAUACUUACUGACACCUUCUUAUGUCACAUCAGCCAUAUAGAAGUGUAUAUUUGACCCACUGAACAUAUUCCUGAGCCAUGAGUACUCGAUACUGAACUUUCAAUACAGACUCAUUGACUCAUUCUGAUGUUACUUCAGCCAUGUCAACCAAUUUUUGACCUACUGAACAAAUUUCUGGCUAAUUAGUCCUCGAUGAUGAAAUUUCUGUACAGACUCAAUGACUCCUUUCUGAUGGAAGAUAAGCCAGAAAUACAUAUCUGGCUGACUGAACAUAUUUCUGGCGAAAGUGUAUUCGAUAUUGACGUUUUUAUAUUGUAAGACUGAGCUGGACUGUCUAGACCAAGAGAGGGCUACUCUUUGAGAAAACAAAGGAAAUUAACAUUUGAACUCUCUCUUGCAAAAUUAGCAUCCCCAUCCGAGACGCAAUUACACCGAGUCAGUGACCUCAGCAUUGCCUUAAUCUACAUUUCCUUUCCUUCACCCCCCCCGCCCUCUUCCCCAUCUCUUCUUUCUACAUGCAGAGAUGACCUGAAAUUCACCCAAAGUCUGUAUGGUUUAAUGCAAACAGUUAUCAUACAACAUUAUACAUGUUUGGUAUCAUUUGAAAUGUCUCAGUGCGACUGGUACAAAGGUCUCAUUCCCACAGAAGUAAACCAGAAGGUAAUAAAGGUUUUAAGAUUUUAGCGAUAUUUUGCUCUCUGUAAUGGGUGUGUCCACCUUCAUAGGGUCUUUCAUGCAAAUGGCCUUCUGUCCCCAAAAGUUGUAAACUACUUAACUACUUAAGGCACUUAACUUUCUUCCUCCUUUCAUACUUUUCCUUCAUCAUCAGCAUGUGCUUUCAAUACAUUCCUGUUGUCUCUCGGCAACGCUCCACUAACCCACGUAAAAGGCAGCGCAAUGCUUCUUACCUGCGCCCUAUUUACUCCUAACACUAAUACUCCUCUCUCUGUCUCUGUGGGUCUAUGGAAUUGUCAGUCAGCAGUUAACAAAGCUGACUUCAUUCCAGCCUUUGCUACUAAUUCUUCUCUUAAUAUCUUGGGAUUGACUGAGACCUGGAUUCGUCCAGAGGACUCAGCAACCCCUGCUGCUCUCUCUAACAACUUCACUUUCUCUCAUACCCCUCACCAGUCUGGGAGGGGUGGGGGCACAGGUCUUCUCAUUUCUGACAAUUGGAAAUACUCGACUCAUUCCUCUCUUUGCAACAACAAUUCAUUUGAGUUUCAUGCUAUUACAAUCUCAAAUCCUGCCAAAAUUCAUAUCGUACUAAUUUAUCGCCCCCCAGGCCAACUGUAGAGGAACUGGACAUGCUGCUGUCCUCGUUCCCAGAGGAUGGUAGCCCACUUGUAGUUUUUGGCGAUUUCAACAUUCAUCUAGAGAAGCCUUAUGCUUUAGACUUCCUCUCUCUUGUAGCCUCAUUCGAUCUUAAUCGGCUCAUCACCACAAGUACUCACAAAUCUGGCAACCAACUUGACCUCAUUUACACACGCAACUGCGUCACUGACAACAUCUUGGUAAAACCUCUGCACAUUUCCGAUCAUUUCUUCAUUACUUUUAAUCUUCAACUCCCUAUUUGUUCACCACCAACCCCUCUACCUUCAGACGAAACCUGCGCUCUCUUUCUUCUUCUCAUCUUUCCUCUGUCGUGUCAUCCUCCCUUCCCUCACCCACACAGUUCUCAUCUUUGGAUGUGAAUAAAGCAACAGACACUUUAUGUUCCACCUUAACUUCAUCUCUUGAUAGUAUCUGUCCUCUGUCAUCCAGGCCUGCCGCACACCUCCUUUCUUCAUUCUCUCCCCUCACUGAGACAGAAGUAUCCAAACUUCUCCUCUCCAGCCAUCCCACCACCUGCCCUCUAGAUCCCAUCCCCUCACACCUUCUACAAGCCAUCGCUCCUACACUUUUACCAGCACUUACACACAUUAUCAACACAUCUCUCCACACUGGCACUUUCCCUAACACAUUCAAGCAGGCUCGGGUAACCCCACUGCUUAAAAAAACCCACAUUAAGCACGUCUCUUGUAGACAGCUACAGACCUGUUUCUCUCCUACCAUUCAUAGCAAAAACAAAUGAACGAGUUGUUUCCAACCAGCUGUCAUCUUUCCUCUCACAGAGCAACCAAUUGGACGUCAAUCAAUCUGGUUUCAAGAGUGGCCACUCGACUGAGACUGCACUACUGUCGGUUACUGAAUCCUUGCGGAUUGCAAAGGCUAAUUCCAAAUCAUCAGUUCUCAUUCUGCUCGAUCUAUCUGCUGCCUUUGACACGAUGAAUCAUCAGAUCCUUCUGUCCACCCUCUCAUCACUUGGCAUCACAGAUGAUCCCACAGUAGCUGCACGAAUCUCAAGCUGUCUGGCGGACAUCUCGGCAUGGAUGAAGGAACAUCAUCUACAGCUCAACCUGGCAAAGACUGAGCUUCUCGUCUUCCCUGCCAAUCCGACUCUAAAUCAUGAUUUCAGCAUUCAGCUAGGCACAUCUUCUAUUACCCCAUCAAAUUCCGCCAGAAAUCUUGGAGUAAUCCUUGAUUACCAACUGACCUUCAAAGACCACAUUGCAAAGACCACUCGGUCAUGCAGAUUUGCACUAUACAACAUCAGGAAAAUCAGGCCCUUUCUAACAGAACAUGCAACACAACUUCUGGUCCAGGCCCUGGUCAUUUCUAGGCUUGAUUACUGCAAUGCUCUUCUGGCUGGACUGCCAUCAUGCGCAAUCAGGCCUCUACAAAUGAUUCAUGAGGCUUGUGGUACCAUCACAGAGAGGCACGAAAUCACUCUCCAGGACAUUCUCGCUCACUGUUCCUUGCUGGUGGAACGAUCUUCCUGCCUUUAUCCGGAAUGCAGAAUCCCUGGCAAUAUUCAAAAGACAGCUGAAAACUCAUCUCUUUCGUGAGCACUUAACCUCAUCUUAAUAAAAAAAAAAAAAUUAUACCUAUCCUUUAACUUCCUCUAAUCCCUCUCUAUUGUAGCUUAUGAUACUCUGAGCAUUACCUAAGACUUGUAUUGUGAGCACUUUUUGUGUCUAUUUGCCUCGUCAUGACGACUCGCUUGUUGUAUUCCUCACUUGUAAGUCGCUUUGGAUUUAAGCGUCUGCCAAAUGAGUAAAUGUAAAUGUACUCAGUCUAGGACCCUGAUUAAUGCGAAUUCCCAUUGUGAACUCAUGUUUCCAUUUGAAAGAAGUUUCUGUCUUGGUCUGAGUGUUUAAAGAGAUGUUGCAGGAGGCUCAGGGCGCGAUUCUGUAAUCAGAUCAGCCAACAUUGCUGAGUGUCCUUCAGACAUUCAGCAAUGUGCAUUUUUCUAAUGUCAGGUAUGCAUCUUUUACUCUGUUUCUGAGCAUCUCAUGUUUUGUAUUGAUCAUCUUUGAAUUGAUUAUGUAAUUGGCAUUAUACAUUUACCUGACUAAUAAAUUGUUAUAUUUGACUUUA